rnacentral:misc_RNA from 1 species
UGAGGCCUUCUGACUGGCGCCGAUGCUCUGGCAACAGAGCGCCGGAUGCCGGAAAGUUGGUCAAACUUGAUCAUUUAGAGGAAGUAAAAGUCGUAACAAGGUUUCCGUAGGUGAACCUGCGGAAGGAUCAUUACCGAUGUAAAUCCAAAAGCACGACUCCGUCGUGACUACCGUGUGAACUGUACCAAACUAUUCAGGGGUCGGCCAGUCCGUUAAAUGGCGGUCGGAGGCGUGCAACUGCGCGCGCGGCCGCUCCGCCAGCCCCGCCUGUGUUUUUUUUAACAUACGUGUCUUUGUCGGAAACCUGACCACUGCCGUGGUCGAGAGCAAAAGAAAGAGAGACAACUUUUGACGGUGGAUCUCUUGGCUCACGCAUCGAUGAAGAACGCAGCCAGCUGCGAUAAGUAGUGUGAAUUGCAGAAUUCAGUGAAUCAUCGAAUCUUUGAACGCAAAUGGCGCUCUUGGGUUCUCCCAGGAGCAUGUCUGUCUGAGUGUCGGAUAUCAUCCAACGCACCUAGUCGUGCGGCGUUGAGGCGUCACGGCCCUCCUCGCGGGCGGCCGUGUCCCUUGAAAGUCAGAGAGACUCGCCGCGGCACGGGUUCGUUCCCUGCACACUCGCGGAGGCUAAAAACGCUUUUGCCCUUCGCGUGCACGGGAGCGGCCCGGCCGCCGAGUCGCGGAGGCGAACACUCUUUCAACUCUUGACCUCAGAUCAGGCAAGGCUACCCGCUGAAUUUAAGCAUAUUAAUAAGCGGAGGAAAAGAAACUAACAAGGAUUCCCCCAGUAACGGCGAGUGAAGCGGGAUGAGCUCAAAUUUGAAAUCUCCGGUGCUUGCACCGGCGAGUUGUAGUUGCGAGAAGCACUUUCUCGGCGGAUCGGCGGCGCCUAAGUUGCUUGGAACAGCAUGUCGCAGAGGGUGACAACCCCGUC